rnacentral:rRNA from 1 species
GACGUAGGGGGCUAGCGUUGUUCGGAAUUACUGGGCGUAAAGCGCGCGCAGGCGGCCCAUCAAGUUGGGAGUGAAAGCCCGAGGCUCAACCUCGGAAUUGCUCUCAAAACUGGUAGGCUAGAGUGAGGUAGAGGAUGAUGGAAUUCCUAGUGUAGAGGUGAAAUUCUUAGAUAUUAGGAGGAACACCGGAGGCGAAGGCG